rnacentral:rRNA from 1 species
CCUACGGGUGGCAGCAGUGGGGAAUAUUGCGCAAUGGGGGCAACCCUGACGCAGCAACGCCGCGUGAUUGAAGACGGCCUUCGGGUUGUAAAGCUCUUUAAUCGGGGACGAAUUUUGACGGUACCCGCAGAAUUAGCUCCGGCUAAAUACGUGCCAGCAGCCGCGGUAAUACGUAGGGGGCAAGCGUUAUCCGGAUUUACUGGGUGGAAAGGGCGUGUAGGCGGGCAGGCAAGCCAGAAGUGAAAGCUGGCGGCUUAACCCCCAAACUGCUUUUGGAACUGCGUGUCUUGAGUGAUGGAGAGGCAGGCGGAAUUCCCAGUGUAGCGGUGAAAUGCGUAGAGAUUGGGAGGAACACCAGUGGCGAAGGCGGCCUGCUGGACAUUAACUGACGCUGAGGCGCGAAAGCGUGGGGAGCAAACAGGAUUAGAUACCCGGGUAGUC